rnacentral:rRNA from 1 species
GGAGAACUGAAACAUCUCAGUACCCCGAGGAAAAGAAAUCAACCGAGAUUCCCCUAGUAGCGGCGAGCGAACGGGGAACAGCCCAGAGUCUUAAUCAAUAGCAGCAUCAGGAGAACGGUCUGGAAAGUCCGGCAGUAAAGGGUGAUAGCCCCGUAUCCGAAGAUGCUGUUAUUGUGAACUCGACGAGUAGGGCGGGACACGUGUUAUCCUGUCUGAAUAUGGGGGACCAUCCUCCAAGGCUAAAUACUCCUGAUUGACCGAUAGUGAACCAGUACCGUGAGGGGAAAGGCGAAAAAGAACCCCGGCGAGGGGAGUGAAAAAGAACCUGAAACCGUGUACGUACAAGCAGUAGGAGCCUCUUUAUGGGGUGACUGCGUACCUUUUGUAUAAUGGGUCAGCGACUUAUAUUCUGUAGCAAGGUUAACCGUAUAGGGGAGCCGUAGGGAAACCGAGUCUUAACUGGGCGAAUGAGUUGCAGGGUAUAGACCCGAAACCCGGUGAUCUAUCCAUGGGCAGGUUGAAGGUUGGGUAACACUAACUGGAGGACCGAACCGACUAAUGUUGAAAAA